rnacentral:rRNA from 1 species
CUACGUGCCAGCAGCCGCGGUAAUACGUAUGUCGCGAGCGUUAUCCGGAAUUAUUGGGCAUAAAGGGCAUCUAGGCGGCCAGAUAAGUCCGAGGUGAAAACUGCCGGCUCAACCAGCAGCUUGCCUUGGAAACUACCUGGCUAGAGUAUUGGAGAGGUGGACGGAACUACACGAGUAGAGGUGAAAUUCGUAGAUAUGUGCAGGAAUGCCGAUGAUGAAGAUAGUUCACUGGACGGCAACUGACGCUGAAGUGCGAAAGCUAGGGGAGCGAACAGGAUUAGAUACCCUGGUAGUCCUAGCUGUAAACGAUGAUUACUGGGUGUGGGCAUGAAGAGUGUCCGUGCCGAAGCAAAUGCGAUAAGUAAUCCGCCUGGGGAGUACGGCCGCAAGGCUGAAACUCAAAGGAAUUGACGGGGACCCGCACAAGCGGUGGAGCAUGUGGUUUAAUUCGACGCAACGCGAGGAACCUUACCAGAUCUUGACAUCCUG